rnacentral:tRNA from 1 species
AAGAAAUUAGUUUAAUAAAAACAUUAAUUUGUCAAAUUAAAAAUAUUAAUUUUAAUAUUUCUUA